rnacentral:tRNA from 1 species
GCCGAUGUCGAAUAUUUGGUUAUUUCAUCACUCUCAUGUAGUGAAGAAAAAGGUUCAACUCCUUUCCUCGGCU